GUAUUCCGUGAUACCCCCAUUAUCUUUCUCUGAUUCCGCCAAGUUUCGAGGAAAGAUGAUGGGGGUUUCGCCUUUA
rnacentral:ncRNA from 1 species